rnacentral:misc_RNA from 1 species
AUUUAGAGAAAGGAGAAAUGGUAACAAGGUUUCCGUAGGUGAACGUGCGGAAGGAUUAUUAUCGAAUCAGUCCAACAAAAUGACUUGCAAACCGUUGUAUUUAUUCUUCCCCGAACGGGCCACAAGUGUCCAUCCUGUUGCCAUUGGUGCAUCUCACUCGGUGAGGGAGCCAAGACGGUCCCGCGUUGCCCGUCGGAACAUCCAUCCAAAACCCGACGCUAUCGGCGCCAAGGAACAUGAACGGAAAUAGCUUGCGACCGGGGCACCUCACAUAAAGUGGUGUGUGCCUUCGAUUUUCAAGUGCUUCUUCAGUCAAUGAAUGACUCUCAGUAACGGAUAUCUCAGCUCUCGCAUUGAUGAAGAACGUAGCGAAAUGCGAUACUUGGUGUGAAUUACAGAAUCCUGUGAACCAUCGAGUCUGUGAACACAAGUUGCGCCCUAGGCCAUACGGUUGAGGGCACGUUUGCCUGGGUGUCACGCACUACGUGCCUCGCCCCUCCGACAUCCCAUCCCGGGCUUUGGAAGCGGGAGAGCGGAUAUUGGGCCCCCGUGUUCCCCCUGCAUGCKGUCAGCGUAAAAGCUGGCCAUUGGUGGUGAAGCAUCAUGACAGUUUGUGGUUGGMGAGUCCAUUCUCUGAAGCCGAAUGUCAUGAUAGCGGCGUCACCAUCGCGACCCUGUGACCCCCAGGUCAAGUGGGACUACACGCUAAGUUUAACCAUAU